GACGAACGCUGGCGGCGUGCUUAACACAUGCAAGUCGAACGAUGAAGCACCAGCUUGCUGGUGUGGAUUAGUGGCGAACGGGUGAGUAACACGUGAGUAACCUGCCCCUCACUCUGGGAUAAGCCUGGGAAACUGGGUCUAAUACUGGAUACGACCGAUCUCCGCAUGGAGUGUUGGUGGAAAGUUGUUGUGGUGGGGGAUGGACUCGCGGCCUAUCAGCUUGUUGGUGGGGUAGUGGCCUACCAAGGCGACGACGGGUAGCCGGCCUGAGAGGGCGACCGGCCACACUGGGACUGAGACACGGCCCAGACUCCUACGGGAGGCAGCAGUGGGGAAUAUUGCACAAUGGGCGAAAGCCUGAUGCAGCGACGCCGCGUGAGGGAUGACGGCCUUCGGGUUGUAAACCUCUUUCACCAGGGACGAAGCUAACGUGACGGUACCUGGAGAAGAAGCACCGGCUAACUACGUG
rnacentral:rRNA from 1 species